ACGGGAGGCAGCAGUCGGGAAUAUUGCGCAAUGGAGGAAACUCUGACGCAGUGACGCCGCGUAUAGGAAGAAGGUUUUCGGAUUGUAAACUAUUGUCGUUAGGGAAGAGAAAGGACAGUACCUAAGGAGGAAGCUCCGGCUAACUACGUGCCAGCAGCCGCGGUAAUACGUAGGGAGCAAGCGUUAUCCGGAAUUAUUGGGUGUAAAGGGUGCGUAGACGGGAAAAUAAGUUAGUUGUGAAAUCCCUCGGCUUAACUGAGGAACUGCAACUAAAACUGUUUUUCUUGAGUGCAGGAGAGGUAAGUGGAAUUCCUAGUGUAGCGGUGAAAUGCGUAGAUAUUAGGAGGAACACCAGUGGCGAAGGCGGCUUACUGGGCUCUAACUGACGCUGAGGCACGAAAGUGUGGGUAGCAAACAGGAUUAGAUACCCUGGUA
rnacentral:rRNA from 1 species